rnacentral:rRNA from 1 species
UACAGAGGUCUCGAGCGUUGUUCGGAUUCAUUGGGUGUAAAGGGUGCGUAGGUGGUCUGGUAAGUCGGAUGUGAAAUCCCGGAGCUUAACUUCGGAACUGCAUUCGAUACUGCCGGUCUGGAGUACUGGAGAGGAGAUCGGAAUUUACGGUGUAGCAGUGAAAUGCGUAGAUAUCGUAAGGAAGACCAGUGGCGAAGGCGGAUCUCUGGACAGUUACUGACACUGAGGCACGAAGGCCAGGGGAGCAAACGGG